rnacentral:rRNA from 1 species
CGCUGGCGGCAGGCCUAACACAUGCAAGUCGAGCGCAGUCCUUCGGGACCGAGCGGCGGACGGGUUAGUAACGCGUGGGAACAUACCCUUUUCUACGGAAUAGCCUCGGGAAACUGAGAGUAAUACCGUAUAAGCCCUUCGGGGGAAAGAUUUAUCGGGAAAGGAUUGGCCCGCGUUAGAUUAGAUAGUUGGUGGGGUAAUGGCCUACCAAGUCUACGAUCUAUAGCUGGUUUUAGAGGAUGAUCAGCAACACUGGGACUGAGACACGGCCCAGACUCCUACGGGAGGCAGCAGUGGGGAAUCUUAGACAAUGGGCGCAAGCCUGAUCUAGCCAUGCCGCGUGUGUGAUGAAGGUCUUAGGAUCGUAAAGCACUUUCGCCAGGGAUGAUAAUGACAGUACCUGGUAAAGAAACCCCGGCUAACUCCGUGCCAGCAGCCGCGGUAAUACGGAGGGGGUUAGCGUUGUUCGGAAUUACUGGGCGUAAAGCGUACGUAGGCGGAUCAGAAAGUAGGGGGUGAAAUCCCAGGGCUCAACCCUGGAACUGCCUCCUAAACUCCUGGUCUUGAGUUCGAGAGAGGUGAGUGGAAUUCCAAGUGUAGAGGUGAAAUUCGUAGAUAUUUGGAGGAACACCAGUGGCGAAGGCGGCUCACUGGCUCGAUACUGACGCUGAGGUACGAAAGUGUGGGGAGCAAACAGGAUUAGAUACCCUGGUAGUCCACACCGUAAACGAUGAAUGCCAGUCGUCGGGCAGUAUACUGUUCGGUGACACACCUAACGGAUUAAGCAUCC